rnacentral:rRNA from 1 species
UACGUAGGGUCCAAGCGUUAAUCGGAAUUACUGGGCGUAAAGCGUGCGCAGGCGGUUGUGUAAGCCAGAUGUGAAAUCCCCGGGCUUAACCUGGGAAUGGCAUUUGGGACUGCACAGCUAGAGUACGGCAGAGGGGACUAGAAUUCCUGGUGUAGCAGUGAAAUGCGUAGAUAUCAGGAGGAAUACCGAUGGCGAAGGCAGCCCCCUGGGCUAGCACUGACGCUCAGGCACGAAAGCGUGGGGAGCAAACAGG